rnacentral:tRNA from 1 species
GCCUGAGUGGCUCAGUUGGUUAAGCGUCUGACUCUUAAUUUCAGCUCAGAUCAUGAUCUCAUGGUUCGUGGGUUUGAGCCCUAUGUCAGGCU